GGAAGGUUAAGGAGCUUUGAGAGGAAGACUUCUGUAGGCAGCCGUGUGCUGUGAGCCCCUCCUCCUGCCUUGUCAAGGGCUUGGGUAGGGGGAGCUUGUCUUCUUGCCUCAGGCUGGGUGAAGUUCAGCUCAACUGAACCUCUGGAGUUUGGGGGAUGCAAUGGCUGGGGGAUAACUCCUGCCCAGGGAAACACAGAGGGCAAAACAGAUGGGCUGGCAAGCUGCUCCUUGGUGGGAAGGUGUGUGGGGAGGUGUUUCUAGGCACCAGUAUGAGCCAGCUUACUUCUGGAUCCAUGUGAAUGACAUUUCUUUUUUCCCUUUGCUUCAUCCCUCCACGUGCUCCAACCUGGGGGACCAUGGAGCACUGCUGGCAGGUCAAAAAAACCUUGAGGCUGGAGGUGAGCAACUUUCAAUUAGACCUGAGCCUUCCUACCUUAUUUUCGUUACCUGAGGCCCCAUGGACCUUCUUGGGACUUGU
rnacentral:lncRNA from 1 species